rnacentral:tRNA from 1 species
GGGCGAUUAGCUCAAUUGGUUAGAGCGCAUGCAUGACACGCAUGAGGCAAGAGGUUCGAAUCCUCUAUCGCCCA